rnacentral:rRNA from 1 species
AUUGAACGCUGGCGGCAUGCCUUACACAUUCAAGUCGAACGGCAGCGGACCUUCGGGUGCCGUGGAGUGGCGACCGGGUGAGUAAUAUAUCGUAACGUGCCUUUCAGUGGGGGAUAACGUAGCGAAAGUUACGCUAAUACCGCAUAUUCUCAGAGGAGGAAAGCAGGGGACCUGCGGGCCUUGCGCGGAUAGAGCGGCCGACAUCCGGUUGGCUAGUUGGUGGGGUAAAGGCCUACCAAGGCGACGAUCGGUAGGGGGUCUGAGAGGAUGAUCCGCCACACUGGGACUGAGACACGGCCCAGACUCCUACGGGAGGCAGCAGUGGGGAAUUUUGGACAAUGGGCGAGAGCCUGAUCCAGCCAUGCCGCGUGAGUGAAGAAGGCGUUAGGGUUGUAGAGCUCUUUCGGACGGGAAGAAAUCGCACAGGCUAAUAACUUGUGUAGAUGACGGUACCGGACUAAGAAGCACCGGCUAACUACGUGCCAGCCGCCGCAGUAA